GUGGUCGCUUCGGCAGCACAUUACUAAACUUGGAACGGCACAGAGAAGAUUAGCAUGGCCCUCGCGCAAGGAUGGCACACAAAUUCGUGAAGCAUUCCGUAUUUUU
ensembl:snRNA U6 U6 spliceosomal RNA